rfam:Sporanaerobacter sp. PP17-6a isolate PP176A genome assembly, contig: PP17-6a_contig38
UAGCUGGCAUCCAUUGUGAGCUGGACUGUUUUCGUUUUAUAUGGAAUAUCGUCUGGUAUCUAAAUAAUGAACUAGAACGGAGG